CAACCACGUUCUUGACAAACAGUUUUAGAACAUUGCUUGAGGACAAUUCCGGCAACCAUCUGUUUCCGGCAGAAGCAUGAGUGUGGGGCAGGAAGCUGAAUUCACAAAUUUUCAGGGGAAAGGUGUUUGUCAGCCAGUGAGGUUGUUCCUGUGAACAUGCCCUGCUUGAUGUAUUUGUCUUCUUGAAGUAACAGAAGAUGAGGACUCGCUUGAGCUGCACAUGGUGCUGCUGGAACUGGAGGAUAUGGAGAAACAGAUCCGUGGCCUACUCGACAAGCAGGCCCAGCUGCUGGAGUGAAGAACUGUGCUGGAAACAUCUUGUGCUUCUGCCUACACAUCCAAGGUACCCGGGAUCCUGAAGAAGGACGAGUGGUCGUGCUGCACGCGGGGGCAAAUGACAUCAGGCUGCGGCAGAUGGAGGUUCUGAAGAGGGACUUCGCCAGCCUGAUUGAGACGGUACGAGGCAGAUCAACCACCAUGAAGAUCAUCGUCUCUGGAGCUCUUCCCACAUAGACGUGGAGCUGAAAAGUUCAGUAGACUUCUUGCUUUGAAUGACUGGUUAGUUUCUUGGUGUAAUGAACAGAAUCUGCUGUUUGUUAAUAACUGGAAUCUGUUCUGGGAGCGACCUAGGUUGUUUUGUCCUGAUGGCCUGCACCCCAGCAGCCUUGGAACGGAACUGCUGUCAGACAACAUCUCCAAGAUGCUACACACCAAGUGACUGCCUACUGUAAGUACAUCUUCCUACAAUAACAACGUUCAUCAUAAGCAAUGUACAAUUAAUAGUUCAACACUUGUAGUACAUUCUAUAGAGACUGUGUCUGUACCCCGAGCUAUACAAAUACAUAGAAAAUUUCGGAAUGUUUGUUUUAUUAUCCUAAUUAACAUAAAAUUAGAUCAUA
ensembl:lncRNA